CUUCUUCAUGCUGCUGCUGCUGUGCUUCUUCUUCCUCUCCUUCUACUUCCCUUAGCAACCUAGAGUGUUGGAGGAGCUCAAGAGAAGCUCGAGCUUCGUCGACGACGCGCCGCAGAGCGGAUCGAGCGAGUUUUCGACGAGGUGCUGCUCGCAGGGAGGGUUUGUCGAGGAGCAUCGGAACGUGACGCGACUUGAUUCGUUGGAACCGAGACUUCGAGACGAAUCCAUAGGAUCCUUACUCGCCCGAUUUGGAGAAGUUCUCUGUGUAGGAGUGUCGAAAUGCGACGAAAUUUGGUGUGCUAGAUUCGCGACUUCGAGACGAAGAUUUUGAGCCCAAGAUCGCGAUUUUUCGAGCAGGUUUGCCCUGUCGAACCCUAGUUUUACUAGGCUGCUGUUUGCCGAGCAGAUUUCAGAGAUGCUGUUUCGCAGGUUCCAGCGUCGACGUUUCGUAUUCUGGCCCGUUCUCUGCGUAGGAGCGUCGGAAUUCAGCGAAACCUGGGCCAUUGGAUUCGUGACUUCGAGACGAAGCUUCAGAACCCUUGUUUGCUGAAUUUGGAUAAGCAGGAGAACCGGGGACUUCGACGGACCAGCGAGGGAUCAAUUUGGAUCCGGGCCACUUUCUUCGCUGCCAGGAGUUGCUUGAGAGGGCCUUCUGUUUCGGCUGCUGCUCCUUCUGAGGCAGACCGCGGGAAAGGCGUGGCGAGUUAGAGCCUACCCUUCGAGUACAGUGCUAGAGGACUCCCGCUGCAGGUAGUGACAGUUUUUGUUCGGGCGCUUUUGUACAUACAGUUGAACUCGCUGGAGCGAGUAGUGUUCUUUUGUAUCCGUGGCUGAU